AGAAUCAUUAAAGAAUAUUUAUUUAUGAUGUCAGAAUAUUGGUGAGUUUUAACAUCGCUAUGCAAGGAAACACAGAGCAGCCACACUAACCGAAAAUCAUAGGCUUAAAUUAAUUUCGAACAAUUUGCUGCAAUCUAGGGAGUUUCUUUAAACUAUCAUUUUAGCAGUUACGAUUUCAGCAAACCAGUGAGUUUCUUUUAACUAUCUUAUAUAUUUCUUUUUUGUAUGAAAGUAUUUCUUCAAGGUUCAAAAUCUAUUUUAGAUUUAUACUUUAUAAU